GAUGAACGCUGGCGGCGUGCUUAACACAUGCAAGUCGAACGGCGUUAUCAUUUUUGAAGCGAUUAGCUUGCUAAGAGUGGAAAUGUUGAUAACUUAGUGGCGGACGGGUGAGUAACGCGUGGGUAACCUGCCUUGCACAGGGGGAUAACACUUAGAAAUAGGUGCUAAUAACGCAUAAGCGCACAGGACUGCAUGGUCCAGUGUGAAAAACUGAGGUGGUGCAAGAUGGACCCGCGUCUGAUUAGCUAGUGGGUGAGGUAACGGCCCACCAAGGCGACGAUCAGUAGCCGGCCUGAGAGGGUGGACGGCCACAUUGGGACUGAGACACGGCCCAAACUCCUACGGGAGGCAGCAGUAGGGAAUCUUCCACAAUGGACGAAAGUCUGAUGGAGCAACGCCGCGUGAGUGAGGAAGGUUUUCGGAUCGUAAAACUCUGUUGUCAGAGAAGAACGUGUGCGAGAGUAACUGCUCGUGCAGUGACGGUAUCUGGCCAGAAAGCCACGGCUAACUACGUGCCAGCAGCCGCCGUAA
rnacentral:rRNA from 1 species